rnacentral:rRNA from 1 species
AUAGAGACUCAGAGCUGCAUAUCAAUAAGCGGAGGAAAAGAAACUAACUAGGAUUCCCUCAGUAACGGCGAGUGAAGCGGGAAGAGCUCAAAUUUGAAGUCUUCAAGGUUCUACCUUGACGAAUUGUAGUUUAAAGAAGUGUUUUCUGUUGGUGUUUUGGUAAAAGUUCUUUGGAAUAGGACAUCAUAGAGGGUGAGAAUCCCGUAUUUGACCAUUACUUCCAGCGUUGUGAUACACUUUCAAAGAGUCGGAUUGUUUGGGAAUGCAGUCCAAAAUGGGUGGUAAAUUUCAUCUAAAGCUAAAUAUUGGCGAGAGACCGAUAGCGAACAAGUACCGUGAGGGAAAGAUGAAAAGAACUUUGAAAAGAGAGUUAAACAGUACGUGAAAUUGUCAAAAGGGAAGCGUUUGACACCAGUGUUGUUUUUCCGAAAAUCAAUUAAAAAAGGCCGGAUUUUGUGUUGUAUUGACUUUAUCAGCUUUCUGCACUUUUUCUUGUCUUUUUUAAUGCACUUUUCGUUUAACAAGUCAACAUCAAUUUCUUUUGUUGUAAAAGGGUCAUUGGAAGGUGGCUUUCCUUUCGGAGAAAGUGUUUAUAGCCUUUGGCCUCUAGCAAUCGGAGAGAUUGAGGUCUGCAGCGUAGAUCCUUCGGGGUUAGAUACAUUUGUGCUAAGCUAUAGCCUUGUAUAGACAACUUGUUGACUAUGCUCAGUCAUGUAGCUUACUCGCUUAUGCUAUUUUACCUACGCUUAGGAUGUUGACGAUCAGCUGAGCGCG